rnacentral:rRNA from 1 species
CCAAACCGACACAGGUGGUCAGGUAGAGAAUACCAAGGCGCUUGAGAGAACUCGGGUGAAGGAACUAGGCAAAAUGGUGCCGUAACUUCGGGAGAAGGCACGCUGACACGUAGGUGAAGUGAUUUACUCAUGGAGCUGAAGUCAGUCGAAGAUACCAGCUGGCUGCAACUGUUUAUUAAAAACACAGCACUGUGCAAACACGAAAGUGGACGUAUACGGUGUGACGCCUGCCCGGUGCCGGAAGGUUAAUUGAUGGGGUCAGCGCAAGCGAAGCUCCUGAUCGAAGCCCCGGUAAACGGCGGCCGUAACUAUAACGGUCCUAAGGUAGCGAAAUUCCUUGUCGGGUAAGUUCCGACCUGCACGAAUGGCGUAAUGAUGGCCAGGCUGUCUCCACCCGAGACUCAGUGAAAUUGAACUCGCUGUGAAGAUGCAGUGUACCCGCGGCAAGACGGAAAGACCCCGUGAACCUUUACUAUAGCUUGACACUGAACAUUGAGCCUUGAUGUGUAGGAUAGGUGGGAGGCUUUGAAGUGUGGACGCCAGUCUGCAUGGAGCCGACCUUGAAAUACCACCCUUUAAUGUUUGAUGUUCUAACGUGGACCCGUAAUCCGGGUUGCGGACAGUGUCUGGUGGGUAGUUUGACUGGGGCGGUCUCCUCCUAAAGAGUAACGGAGGAGCACGAAGGUUGGCUAAUCCUGGUCGGACAUCAGGAGGUUAGUGCAAUGGCAUAAGCCAGCUUGACUGCGAGCGUGACGGCGCGAGCAGGUGCGAAAGCAGGUCAUAGUGAUCCGGUGGUUCUGAAUGGAAGGGCCAUCGCUCAACGGAUAAAAGGUACUCCGGGGAUAACAGGCUGAUACCGCCCAAGAGUUCAUAUCGACGGCGGUGUUUGGCACCUCGAUGUCGGCUCAUCACAUCCUGGGGCUGAAGUAGGUCCCAAGGGUAUGGCUGUUCGCCAUUUAAAGUGGUACGCGAGCUGGGUUUAGAACGUCGUGAGACAGUUCGGUCCCUAUCUGCCGUGGGCGCUGGAGAACUGAGGGGGGCUGCUCCUAGUACGAGAGGACCGGAGUGGACGCAUCACUGGUGUUCGGGUUGUCAUGCCAAUGGCACUGCCCGGUAGCUAAAUGCGGAAGAGAUAAGUGCUGAAAGCAUCUAAGCACGAAACUUGCCCCGAGAUGAGUUCUCCCUGAGACUUAGAGUCUCCUGAAGGAACGUUGAAGACGACGACGUUGAUAGGCCGGGUGUGUAAGCGCAGCGAUGCGUUGAGCUAACCGGUACUAAUGAACCGUGAGGCUUAACCUUACA